UCAAACUCAAACAAACCCAAUCUCAAUGA
rnacentral:sRNA from 1 species